rnacentral:rRNA from 1 species
UACGUAGGGUGCAAGCGUUAAUCGGAAUUACUGGGCGUAAAGCGUGCGCAGGCGGUUGUGCAAGACCGAUGUGAAAUCCCCGGGCUUAACCUGGGAAUGGCAUUGGUGACUGUACGGCUAGAGUGUGUCAGAGGGGGGUAGAAUUCCACGUGUAGCAGUGAAAUGCGUAGAGAUGUGGAGGAAUACCGAUGGCGAAGGCAGCCUCCUGGGCCAGCACUGACGCUCGAUGCACGAAAGCGUGGGGAGCAAACAGG